GAGGAAGUUAGUUAGUUGUGGCAUUUGGGCUCUGAGAGAUAGGCUACCCUCUUGUCCUGACGUUGGCCUCUCAGCUGAUGGUCAAGGCCACCCUGGCUCAGUGAUGCCUAGUGUCAGUUCUGGGCUUUAGCUGAGGGGAGGAAUGUGGGUAUGAAGGACAGUGGAUGUGGUAGAUAGGCUGCCAAUCAACCCUUUGAGGCUUGCUGGUGACAGGAGCAUUGGGACUGUGAAGGGAUACUGUGAUUUAAGACCCACUUUGAUCCUGGAGGACUAGUCUUGGGUUAGGCCUUGCCCUCUGGACUUGGCUUUCUGGGAGCUGGGAUCAUGUUGGGUGUGAGCACCCAAGCUUUGUGCUUGUUCCUGGCCUGAGGUACAUACAGGCAGUCUAGAUUUUCUCUUGCCCUUUUUGGUCUCUGUGAGUACCUGCACUUGUGAGGUAGAGACCAAAGGGUCAGGGGUUUAAGCCAUCCUUGGGUACUGUCUCAGUCAGGGUUUCUAUUCUUGCACAAACAUCAUGACCAAGAAGCAAGUGGGGAGGAAAGGGUUUAUUCAGCUUACACUUCCAUACUGCUGUUCAUCACCAAGGACGUUAGGACUGGAACUCAAGCAGGUCAGGAAGCAGGAGCUGAUGCAGAGGCCAUGGAGGGAUGUUCUUUACUGGCUUGUUUCCCCUGGCUUGCUCAGCCUGCUCUCUUAUAGAACCAAGACUAUCAGCCCAAAGAUGGUCCCACCCACCAGGGGCCUUUCCUCCUUGAUCACUAAUUGAGAAAAUGCCUUACAGCUGGAUCUCACGGAGCUCCUUUCUCUGUGAUAACUCCAGCCUGUGUCAAGUUGACACACAAAACCGACCAGUACAGACAUAGCAAAUAAGAGAACAGACUGUGUCUCAAAGACCAAAAAAAGGAAAGAUGGAUGAGCUCUGCCUAAGGUGAAAGUUGUCCCCUCUGCCAGACCUAUUGUAUAGGAGUCUAGAUCUGCCUUACAGAGUUAAGGAAAGACUUGAGAAGACAGCAGCCCUCAGCUGGGCCUCAUCUAGAGUUGUUAACCAGGGGGGUUUGGCAUGCAUUCUUCUGCCCUAUUUGUUGUGUAUAUUCAGGGUAUGUGCCCUGUCACACGUGAUGUACACUUGGCUUUUUAUUUUAUGUGCAUUUUUUUCUGUGUCUUCACAAAGCAGUGAAUGUCAUGGGUUUGAUUGCUAUAUAGUGUUCCACAGAUUGAUGGCACCUUAGUCUAUUUAUCAAUAUCCUUUUGAUGGCCACUCAGGAUAUUUUUGCUCUUAUGAAGCAUACACCAGUCCCACUUUUCAUCCAGCCCCUAUUGGGGCUGGUGCAGAAAUCUCUAGAAACCUUGAUAGAGGUUCAUUGGGUGGGUUGAGCUCUGCACAUUGGAGAAGGGAAAUAGCCUCCAGCUUUGCUUCUCUAUGAGAGGGCUUGAUUCCUGAUUCUCAGCAUGCCUGCAGACACACAGGCUGGUUGGUGACAUCAUUGAUAAAGGUCACUGUCAUCCUGAGAUCACUUGAAGGAGCACAGGUCUGCAUUGUUGCGCAGUCUUGGCACUGCUCCAUAGUCACUUGUGAUUGCCUUGGUCCUGUGGUAAGACAGCAUAGCACAGCAGAAGCACGUGUGGAGAGGUGGAGAGCAGGGUUGCCCACCUACUCAGCCAGAAUGAGGCACCCUGGGAACAAGCUUUGUGACAUUUGGGGCUUUGGGAGACAGUCACUAUCCAACUAUAGCAGCUACUUUUUUUCUUUAGGAGACCCAACUGUUAAGAAACACAUGUGAAUGCCAGGGCUCUGUCAACAAAUAUGCAUAUACAUAUACGAAUGAAAGUGUGGAAGCAAAAAUCCCUGUGUUCAGGAGGCAACACCUGAGUGUUGUGUCCAGUCCUGGGCCUGCUGCAGCUAGGGUAGUCGAUUGGCAGGUGAUAGGGCAAUGCCAGGAACAAGACCUGGUCAGCCACCAGGGAAGCCUUGAGCUUCUAGACCUUACUAGCUAUGGCUAGCAUGAGAAACGUGACAUCUUGUUCCUUACCCUUGGGACCUGAGACAUACAGGCCAUUGGGAGCAGUGCAGGCAUCGUUGUGCCAAGUGCCAAAUUCACUCUCUCUCUCUCUUUUUUUUGUAAGUUGGAAAAUAACUUUAUUUGUUCUAGGGCAUUGGCCAGAGUCCCCUUAGAACUUCCGAAACUGCAUUUUGGUGCCAGCAGCCUUGGUGACCUUGAGAACAUUGAAUGGACACUCCAACAGUGACAAUGUCUCCGAUCUGUACAUCCCUGAAACAGGGAGGCAGGUGCUCAGACAUGUUCUUGUGACGCUUCUCAAAGUGAUUAUAUUUUCGGAUGUAACGGUGAUAGUCCCGGUGGAAGACAAUGGUCCUUUGCAUCUUCAUCUUCGUCACAACACUAGACAAGAUCCGACCUCAGAUGGAGACAUUACCAGUGUAGGGGCAUUCUCUGUCUAUGUAGGUGCCCUCGAUGGCCUCUUUGGGCAUCUUGAGGCCUAGACCGAUGUUUGUGUAGGACCGAGGGAGUUUUUCCUUGCCGGUUUCUCCCAGCAGAACACACUUCUUGUUCUGAAAGAUUGUAGGCUGCUUUUGGUAAGCAUGCUCCGUCUGAAUGUCCACCAUCUUCCCUGAGAAAAGGAGAGGUAGGCCCACUCCCGACUUGCUUAUUCGCCACCCCAAAUUCAGUCUUGUAGAACCCCCAUCUCCUCGGCUGCUUCCAGCCCAAGAUGACUGCAGGUCAGGGCUGACAGAGAUGGAAGCCAGGGCCCUGGCCUUUCCUUGGGGAUUCUACCUCCUGCCUCCCUGGGCACUGGAGGCUGGAUUAUUUGUGGUAUCACAAUAGGCUGUGUGUCCUCAGACAGAUGACUUAACUCCUCUGAGUCUGCCCCUGCAGUUGUUUAGGCAGGUGGAUUGGCCUCCUUGUUGGAAAGCAGGGAUAAGCACAGUCAACUCUGGGUGAGGUAAUGUGUGUCAAGGUUCAGCCAGGACCUGGUACACGUUGAUGCUGAACUAGUCAUUUCGUGUCAUUAAUUCACCCUCCUGAGCAUCCUCGAG
rnacentral:lncRNA from 1 species